AUUGAACGCUGGCGGCAUGCCUUACACAUGCAAGUCGAACGGUAACAGGUUAAGCUGACGAGUGGCGAACGGGUGAGUAAUACAUCGGAACGUGCCCAGUAGUGGGGGAUAGCCCGGCGAAAGCCGGAUUAGUACCGCAUACGACCUACGGGUGAAAGGGGGGGAUCGCAAGACCUCUCGCUAUUGGAGCGGCCGAUGUAGGAUUAGGUAGUUGGUGGGGUAAAGGCCCACCAAGCCGACGAUCUGUAGCUGGUCUGAGAGGACGACCAGCCACACUGGGACGGAGACACGGCCCAGACUCCUACGGGAGGCAGCAGUGGGGAAUUUUGGACAAUGGGCGCAAGCCUGAUCCAGCCAUGCCGCGUGCGGGAAGAAGGCCUUCGGGUUGUAAACCGCUUUUGUCAGGGAAGAAAUCCUUUGGGCUAAUACCUCGGGGGGAUGACGGUACCUGAAGAAUAAGCACCGGCUAACUACGUGCCAGCAGCCGCCGUAAAAC
rnacentral:rRNA from 1 species